AGGAGCCGUGUGAGGUCGAAAGUCUCAUGCACGGUUCUGAAGACCAGUUGGGCAGGGUGAAGUUGAAGCGCGGAACCCGAACCGAUGAAAGAUGUGACCGGUUCGACUGAGUUUAAC
rnacentral:ncRNA from 1 species